CCUACGGGUGGCAGCAGUGAGGAAUAUUGGUCAAUGGCCGCAAGCCUGAACCAGCCAAGUCGCGUGAAGGAAGAAUGCUCUACGGUUUGUAAACUUCUUUUAUAAGGGAAUAAAGUGAGGCACGUGUGCCUAUUUGGAUGUACCUUAUGAAUAAGCAUCGGCUAACUCCGUGCCAGCAGCCGCGGUAAUACGGAGGAUCCGAGCGUUAUCCGGAUUUAUUGGGUUUAAAGGGAGCGUAGAUGGGUUGUUAAGUCAGUGGUGAAAGUUUGCGGCUCAACCGUAAAAUUGCAAUUGAUACUGGCAGUCUUGAGUACAGUUGAGGUAGGCGGAAUUCGUGGUGUAGCGGUGAAAUGCUUAGAUAUAACGAAGAACUCCAAUUGCGAAGGCAGCUUACUAAACUGCAACUGACAGUGAGGCUCGAAAGUGUGGGUAUCAAACAGGAUUAGAUACCCCUGUAGUC
rnacentral:rRNA from 1 species